GACGAACGCUGGCGGCGUGCUUAACACAUGCAAGUCGAACGGUAAGGCCCCAGCUUGCUGGGGUACACGAGUGGCGAACGGGUGAGUAACACGUGGGUGACCUGCCCCGCACUUCGGGAUAAGCCUGGGAAACUGGGUCUAAUACCGGAUAGGACCGCACCGUGAGGGUGUGGUGGAAAGUUUUUCGGUGUGGGAUGGGCCCGCGGCCUAUCAGCUUGUUGGUGGGGUAAUGGCCUACCAAGGCGGCGACGGGUAGCCGGCCUGAGAGGGUGGACGGCCACAUUGGGACUGAGACACGCCCCAGACUCCUACGGGAGGCAGUAGUGGGGAAUAUUGCACAAUGGGCGGAAGCCUGAUGCAGCGACGCCGCGUGGGGGAUGACGGCCUUCGGGUUGUAAACUCCUUUCACCAUCGACGAAGGUUUUCUGACGGUAGAUGGAGAAGAAGCACCGGCUAACUACGUG
rnacentral:rRNA from 1 species